rnacentral:rRNA from 1 species
GACGAACGCUGGCGGCGCGCCUAACACAUGCAAGUCGAACGGUGACGAGAGCUUCGGCUCUCUGAUCAGUGGCGGACGGGUGAGUAACACGUGAGCAACCUGGCUCUAAGAGGGGGACAACAGUUGGAAACGACUGCUAAUACCGCAUAACGUAACGAGAAGGCAUCUUUUUGUUACCAAAGAUUUAUCGCUUAGAGAUGGGCUCGCGUCUGAUUAGAUAGUUGGCGGGGUAACGGCCCACCAAGUCGACGAUCAGUAGCCGGACUGAGAGGAUGAACGGCCACAUUGGGACUGAGAUACGGCCCAGACUCCUACGGGAGGCAGCAGUGGGGAAUAUUGGGCAAUGGGGGAAACCCUGACCCAGCAACGCCGCGUGAAGGAAGAAGGCCUUGGGUUGUAAACCUCUUCAGCAGGGAAGAAGACAAGUGACGGUACCUGCAGAAGAAGUACGACGGCUAACUACGUAGCC